CCUACGGGUGGCAGCAGUCGAGAAUCAUUCACAAUGGGGGAAACCCUGAUGGUGCGACGCCGCGUGGGGGAAUGAAGGUCUUCGGAUUGUAAACCCCUGUCAUGUGGGAGCAAAUUAAAAAGAUAGUACCACAAGAGGAAGAGACGGCUAACUCUGUUCCAGCAGCCGCGGUAAUACAGAGGUCUCAAGCGUUGUUCGGAAUCACUGGGCGUAAAGCGUGCGUAGACUGUUUCGUAAGUCUUGUGUGAAAGGGGCGGGCUCAACCCGCGGACGGCACAUGUUACUGCGAGACUAGAGUAAUGGAGGGGGAACCGGAAUUCGCGGUGUAGCAGUGAAAUGCGUAGAUAUCGAGAGGAACACUCGUGGCGAAGGCGGGUUCCUGGACAUUAACUGACGCUGAGGCACGAAGGCCAGGGGAGCGAAAGGGAUUAGAUACCCGAGUAGUC
rnacentral:rRNA from 1 species